CAAAACUCUUCCCCUGACAGUUCAAUUAGGGCUAUGCCAGGAUUUGUACAGACUUUUGCAGAGAAAUGAGAAUCUAUCCUAUCCUUUCACUUGCGAGUCAGGAGAAAUCUGCUUAUAAAUUACUGCUGUUUGCAUCUGGGGGAUAAUUACUGCUCAAAGCUCACAGAUAAACCCAAAAUUUUAACUUAAUAAUGUCAAAAAUGUUAACUGUUUUAAAUCACAGCAGCUGUCCUGGACCUUCGCAGUCACUGAGCUGAUUUGCAGUUGUAUCAGUGUGUCAGCAUCCUUCCUGAGGUGCCCGCAGUGCAGGGGGGGACUGGCACUGAGCCCCCGCCUUCCUUCUGUGCACGGCCGUCUUAUCUGCAGAGCAACUUUCUGUUUUCUUUUCUCUCUUCAUUUCCAUAAACAAUAUGCACAAUUCUCAGAGCCAUUCAGUCAGCAAAUAAAGGCAGAGGGCUAAGUAAAUUUGCUUCACACCAAUUAUUUUUGUGAGGUCACCGAGUUAAGCAUUAAAGAAUACUGCUGCGGAUGAGCACUCGGGAACAGUGUGACUGUGGUAUGAGGUGCACAAAGCACCCAGUGCCCGGCAGAACACGACAUUUAUUGGGAAGCUUUGUUCCACGAGCUAACAGAACAAUAAUCCUUUUCAUUUAACAACUCCGCAUUACUCAUUUCCCCACGUAGCCCAGCUGCACUGUAAGCCACUUUUGUAAGUCACACCAUAGGAGAGAAAGCGAAAGAUGUGUGAUUUCAGGGGGAAAAGAAGGGAUUGCUCAGUUCCAUCGCGAGCUGAUUGUUUCUGUGCACAGCGUGAGGACGCAUCUGUUCCUACGAGAGCUGCACUGGCCCAGUGGUAGCACCUACACCUGUGUACAACCAGCAAACACACGCGUGGACCUGAGCCUCCAGGAGGCCCCUGCACCAGGGCAGCACAAAAGGCUCCCUGUGUUUGGGAGCAGUGUAGAUGG
rnacentral:lncRNA from 1 species